GGAAGCGUGGCUGAGAGGCUUAAGGCAGCGGCUUGCUAAGCCGUCGGGCCCUCCGGGGUCCCGUGGGUUCGAAUCCCACCGCUUCCGCCA
rnacentral:tRNA from 1 species